UUGGAUAAUGCUUAUCAAAGAUGCAUCAAUUACAACCUUCUAGGCUGGUUCCGAUUUUUCAUUGAGUUUGGCCUGCCGAUACUGAUUUUGGCCGAUCCCAAU